AGAGUGAAUGCUAGCGGUGCGCCUAACACAUGCAAGUCGCGCGAGGCUUCGAGCCGAGCGGCGAACGGCUGCGUAACACGUUGGAAUCUGCCCCGUACUCAGGGAUAAUUCACCGAAAGGUGGACUAAUACCGGAUGGUCUCGAAAGAGUAAAGCUCCGGCGGUACGGGAGGAUCCUGCGGCCUAUCAGGUAGUUGGUAAGGUAACGGCUUACCAAGCCUAUGACGGGUAGCUGGUCUGAGAGGACGACCAGCCAGAAUGGGACUGAGACACGGCCCAUACUCCUACGGGAGGCAGCAGUGAGGAAUCUUCCGCAAUGGGGGGCAACCCUGACGGAGCGACACCGCGUGAAGGAUGAAACCAUUUUUUGGCGUAAACUUCUGUUCUGAGGGACGAAAUUUUUGACGGUACCUCAGGAGAAAGCACCGGCUAAUUCCGUGCCAGCAGCCGC
rnacentral:rRNA from 1 species